GACGAACGCUGGCGGCGUGCUUAACACAUGCAAGUCGAGCGGUAAGGCCCUUUCGGGGGUACACGAGCGGCGAACGGGUGAGUAACACGUGGGUGACCUGCCCUUAGCUCUGGGAUAAGCCUGGGAAACUGGGUCUAAUACCGGAUAUGACCUCAUGACUCAUGUUGUGGGGUGGAAAGCCUUGUGCGGCCAGGGAUGGGCCCGCGGCCUAUCAGCUUGUUGGUGGGGUAAUUGCCUACCAAGGCGACGACGGGUAGCCGGCCUGAGAGGGCGACCGGCCACACUGGGACUGAGACACGGCCCAGACUCCUACGGGAGGCAGCAGUGGGGAAUCUUGCGCAAUGGGACGAAGCCUGACGCAGCGACGCCGCGUGAGGAUGAC
rnacentral:rRNA from 1 species